AACGAACGCUGGCGGCAUGCCUAACACAUGCAAGUCGAACGAGACCUUCGGGUCUAGUGGCGCACGGGUGCGUAACGCGUGGGAACCUGCCCUUAGGUUCGGAAUAACUCCCCGAAAGGGGUGCUAAUACCGGAUAAUGUCUUCGGACCAAAGAUUUAUCGCCUUUGGAUGGGCCCGCGUUGGAUUAGCUAGUUGGUAGGGUAAAAGCCUACCAAGGCGACGAUCCAUAGCUGGUCUGAGAGGAUGAUCAGCCACACUGGGACUGAGACACGGCCCAGACUCCUACGGGAGGCAGCAGUGGGGAAUAUGGGACAAUGGGCGAAAGCCUGAUCCAGCAAGGCCGCGUGAGUGAUGAAGGCCUUAGGGUUGUAAAGCUCUUUUACCCGGGAUGAUAAGGACAGUACCGGGAGAAUAAGCUCCGGCGAACUCCGG
rnacentral:rRNA from 1 species